ensembl:lncRNA
UAUUGCAAUCUCUGGUGUCCAGUGUGUAUUUGGGAAGAUCAAGAAAAAUGGCUAGUAAAUGGUUCUCUGUGAUGCCAUUUUGCAAUUAAUGUUAUCUUAUAGCAGAGAAGGAAAACGGGAUGAAGCGCUGUGUGCGGAUUUGCUCCUUGAAUUAAGAAAUGAUGAUGAAAGAUGUCAGAAAUAAAGCUCUCCUUGCAGGAAGGCGGCUCCGUCCUGUCGGAUCUGGGGGAUGCAUCUGGGCAGACAGCAACCCCUUCUGCAGCUGGAAGAAGCUGCCAAGCUGUCAGAGUCCACCACGUCCUCCAGAACGGAUCUGUUUGUCUCAGCUGUAGCUGCUGAAAGGCACCGUGCAGAGCGAUGUGCUUUACACUUUCUUGACCCUGCUGGCUAACCCUGGCUGCUGCUCAUCAAAUACUGAGCAGCUGUUAGCAUCAUUGCAUUCACUGCACAUCCCCGUGAAUGAUAACAAAGGCUGGGCUUCCCAUGCUUCCCAAGCAAACAAGAGGAGGUUCACCGGUGUGAGUGUGAGGAGCCUUGCCCAGCGUUGGUCAGCCUGGCACGUGGCAGUGUUCAGAACUGCCACCCCCACUUAAUGUCGGUGGAGUGGAAAUCCAUUUUAGCAGACCUGGAGAAGGAGCUAGCAGUAGUGCUGUGACAAUUUCAAUUAAAGGUCUGAGAAUGGUAAUUAUGUUUACAUCCCAGCAGUCUGAUUAAACGUAAACUAAUUAUGCAAAAAGCUUCCACUGUGACCUGAGGUACUCUUGCUGACUCACAGUUGAAUUUCAGCAGAGAUUUUGGAUAACAUGUUAUUGCUGCAGAAAGUUUCCUUGCUUUUUUUGUUUGUUUGUUUGUUUGUUUUUUGUGGAUGGUGGGAUGUUAAUGAUUUUUGAUGAUAUGACUGGAAUAACAUCCAUAAACAACAACAACAACAAGAACAACUUCUUCUUCUUCUUCUUCUUCUUCUUCUUCUUCUUCUUCUUCUUCUUCUUCUUCUUCUUCCUUCUCCUUCUCCUUCUCCUUCUCCUUCUCCUUCUCCUUCUUCUUCUUCCUUCUUCUUCUUUGUAACAUCCUUUCAUUGUGUUGGUCCUCUGCCUAUACAAUAGCCUUCAGCUGUUUUUGGAUUUGGCUUUUCAAAGCCCUGCUAUUAAAGCAAGAAAUAUACACUUCUGCUUGUACAAGAAAUGGGGAAAUAUGAAAUCUUUGUGUAGGUAAUUAAUUACACUUAUGAAGUAAAAAUGAAUUCAGAAGGAUUUGCAGUGCUGGUUUUAUAGGAACUGUUCUACUCAGUGCUGAAGUUCAGCAUGGAAUCUGCAACGGUCCUGAAGACUUAAUGGGUGUGGUAUGGUGGUCUGACAGCUGCAGGUUUGAAGCAUUAAUACAUGGCAGAAUCACAGAAUGUGAGGGUACUUCAUGUUGAAAAAGACCUCAGGAGAUAACUUUUCACCCUCUCUGCACAGAGCAGCACUAACUUCAGUGUUGCUCCAGUCUUGCAUUAGUGUACAAAGAGAUGUGCUUUGCAGCACCAAUUUUUCAGCUAGGGAUCAAAGCCCACAAUGAAAGAAUAACUGCACUAAUGCUUUGUCUGCACGUAUUUCAUUUUGAUGCACUGCAAUUCAGUCUGAGAGCCUGGAUCACAAGCCUUGGUGCAGCAUCCUGUGAUCCUUUCGUGGAAAACUGAGACUUAUAUUCAUCAGUUAACAUUAUCCCACCACUUCAUUUGCGACUUUUACAUCUAUUUGAAUGCUUGUUUAAAAAUGUGAACAGGUGCAGCAACAAAAGAAUUGUUAAUUCAAUUAGAACUGGCCAGCAUUAUAACAUUAUGAAGAGGUUAUGACUUGUAAUUUUGAACAAGUGUUUUCCUUUACAUGUAAAGGAUGGCAAUGCCUGCAGUUCUAAAAAUGUAACAUUUAAACUGUGCCCUGGAUUGGUCUCAGGAUAAGACUGCCUUUCUUAGUCCGAAAGGAGCAGAGCUCUAAUGCACUGCCAUGGCUUUUGCUCGUCUGCCAAGUGACUUUGACUAGAGCUGCUCCAACAGGCUGCUUGCUUCCAUAUGCUGUAGGCUACAGACAGUUCCCAUAGCAGAAGCAUCGCAGCAGAGUAUGUUUUCCAUUUUCCUAUGGGAGUUUGUUUGUCUGUUUCUCUUCGUUACCUACUUGGAAGAGUAGACUGGCAGAAACAUUCUGCAGGGAUUAAAUAUGGCCACAUCUCAGUUUGUAUUCAUAGCUUUUAUCUGAUGCCUGGGGUGUUUCAGUGUCAGCUGAAAUAUCUCUGUGUCUUCUCAAACGUCCUUCAUUAUCCAUAUGUUAAGUCUGAGCCUUCUGAACCAGAUCUCUGGUUUCUACUCUUCCCAUCUGCACUUCCUGAAGAUUCCAGAACUGCUGGAACAGCAAUUAUGUGGGGGAGAAAAAUAGCUACAUUUGGCAGAAAUGUAAGUAAUGUAAUUCAUCCUGAUAAAUUGAUCUCAGUACUCUUGGGGAAAAGUAAUAAAUUGAUAUCAGAAUGUG